CUCUCGUACGAGGUCUGACCAAAAAGUAAUGAGACUGUUUUUUUUUGCCACGCUUGCUACCGCUUUGGUACUAAGGGGAGUACUUUGAAGGGGAUCACAUGGAUGUAUCUUAAUAUUUAAAUAUACGUAUUUUAUUGAAUUAGUCUCAUUACUUAUUGGUCAGACCUUGUAUAAUA